rnacentral:rRNA from 1 species
AUUGAACGCUGGCGGCAUGCCUUACACAUGCAAGUCGAACGGCAGCGGGGGAGAAGCUUGCUUUUCCUGCCGGCGAGUGGCGAACGGGUGAGUAAUGCAUCGGAACGUGCCCUGUAGUGGGGGAUAACGAGGCGAAAGAUCGGCUAAUACCGCAUACGCCCUGAGGGUGAAAGUGGGGGACCGCAAGCCCUCGUGCGACAGGAGCGGCCGAUGUCUGAGUAGCUAGUUGGUGGGGUAAAGGCCUACCAAGGCGACGAUCAGUAGCUGGUCUGAGAGGACGAUCAGCCACAGUGGGACUGAGAGCAGGCCCAGACUCCUACGGUAGGAAGCAGUGGGGAAUUUUGGACAAUGGGCGAAAGCCUGAUCCAGCAAUGCGGGGUGUGUGAAGAAGGCCUUCGGGUUGUAAAGCACUUUGGUCCGGAAAGAAAUGGCUCUGGUUAAUACCUGGGGUCGAUGACGGUACCGGAAGAAUAAGGACCGGCUAACUACGUGCCAGCAGCCGCCGUAA